CCCUCCUCAGCCUCCCUAGUAGCCGGGAUUAGAGGUGCACGCCACCACACCCAGCUAAUUUUUGUAUUGUUAGUAGAGAUAGGGUUUCACCAUGUUGGCCAGGAUGGUCUUGAACACCUGGCCUCAAGGGAUCCACCCACCUCGAAUUCCCAAAGUGCUGGGAUCACAGGUGUGAGCCACCGCGGACGACCUAUAAAAACUUUUAUCCCUUUCAUUUUCUCAUAGACUCCCGUUUAAGUUCUUGCUCUGUUUUGGGGGAAAGUGUUUAUUGUUUGAUUUUCUAAUAACGAAAACAUUAGAGUAGCUUCAUUUAUGCUGCCUGUUUCAAGCCAAUACACUGCUCAGUUGUGUUUGUGUAUUUGAAAAGUCCCCUGAUAGGAACUUUCUGAGGGGUGCCUGUGUUGUUGGCACAUUUGAGAACUAGACAAAAUCUAACUCUGUGUCUUUUUUCUUUCUUUUUCCCCUAUUAUUUGGUUUUGUUUUUUUAACAACCCCUCUGGAGUGUGUUUUGGUUCAUGGGAUCAGGCCACGUGCCCUGGUUUUCGAGGUAUAGCCUUGGCUUUCUUGGGUCGGGUCUAAUAACCCUGACCUUGGACUUCCCACGUGUCCUUCAAAGAAAGCAAUUAUUUUUGCCUAUUUUCUGAGUAUGAUGGUAUUCUCCAUUUGAUUUAACAAAAAAAUUCUUCCUCUGCUUUAAAAGACUGAAAGCCUCCCUGUAAGGUGCUGAUUGCCUUCCAGAUCUGAGGACCCCGUCUCUGCCUCAUUCCUCCUGUUUCCAUCAGAAGACACAGGUCUGGGACUCAGCGCAGCUGACCUGUCUGUCCCUCUCUGCACAGUUUACUCCUGGGCUCUGCAGAGAGAAGUCAGUGCCUCAAUUUUCCAUUGAAAUAUGCACCCUUGGCAUCCUGGCAGGAAGAUGUCCCUGUUUCCUGUGGCUACAAAUGCUCCCUGCCACACUGGGAGGCCGCACCUCACUGCGCCGGAGUGCAGUCUUCAGUGGGGUCCUCUGCUGUGACCGAAAGAAGGGUGCAGCCGGGCCUGCUUCCAAGGCUAGGGUCUGAGACCUGGAGUGUGUCCAUGGAUAUCAGAUGUUGAGCUACAGGGGACCGGCAGCCCACAGCAGCACCCUCGGUGGCUACCUUAGGGUGUUCCUGUGGGCCUCCCCCCACCAGCACCUCCCUCCAGCUUUCCUGCCUCCAUCCCCCCUCCAGGACACUUCCUCCUCUGGCUAAAGGUUUGGCACCUUUCAUUUGAGAGAGAUUAACAGCAAACACACAGGGCUUUCUGCAGGCCAGGGCUGCUGCUGAGCUUUUGCCAGGCAUUUGGUCCUCUGCCAAGCCCAUGCAUAGUUUCUGUCUACAUUGUGCAGUUGGGGACUUGGCACCUGCCCAGCACCUAUGCUUGGGGCCCCUCCUCUGUGCUGCAGGCGGGUGUUCACACCCUUUCAUACCCGCUGUCAUCUCCCUGCAGCCCACCCUGCUUGACGAGGUCAUCACUGGUGCUUAGGAGUAAACUGGAAUGGCAGACAGAGCCCAGUGGAUAUUGCAGAGGAACAGAAGGAAAAAGAUGUGCAUGACGCCUCAGUGCUUGCAGCAUUAAAGCAAAAAAAAAAAAAAGAGCAAAGUAGCACAGUGAUUAAAUAGUCGGGUGCCUGCAUUCCAUCCUCACCUGCUGUGAACCAGCCACAUGACCUUGGACAGGUGGCCUGGUGCCUCCUCUGGGUAGUGGCUGGGAGUGGCACUGUCACCUAGGCCCUGUCACCUAGGCCCAGGGGCAGGAGUAAGCAAGGUAGCAGGUGUGAUCCAUUAGCACAGCUGAUGCUCAGUCACGGUGGCCCUGGCACUCCUCAGAGGGCCCCUGCCAUGCCUGGGGGAGGAGGGGCUGCAGUCCGUGCCCAGUGAAUGUACCACCUGCCUGACAUCGCAGCGUCCACUCUGGCAGAUGCGACACCACGCCUAGUGAGGUCUGAACAGGGACCCUCAGCAGUGCGCCCACAGGUGCACAUGAGUGAUGACCAUAGCUGCCCGCUGGUUGUGCCCUCCUGGGCAGGAAGCACACCAGGGAGCCCUGGCAGAGCAGGCCCUUAGGGAGCACCCAGGAGGGCCUGGGGCUGGGGCCUCGAUUCUGGGCAGCCAGCCUUCGGGACCUUGGUCACGCGCCUACCUGGACCUCUGCCCCUGCCUGCCCUAUCCCUCAUUAGAAUCCCAGCCCUCCUGGCUGUUCUGGGUACUCUGAUCAAGCCAGACAGUGCUAGUUCAGCACUGAGAGAGUGUGUCCUGUCUGGUCAGGGACCACCAGGGUAGACAGACAUUCACUCCUAAGUUCCCACCGAAAAACAGCACGAGGGUAUAUUGGGCAACCAGGUGAAGACUGUUCCAGAGCCAGUUAUCCCAGAGGAGCUAGGAAGCCUUUCCCUCUGCUGUCUUCCUUUUACUCAGACACGUCCUCCAGAGCUGGCUGCAUGUGCAUUCCCUCUGCUUUCCUGGAAGUCCCCUCCUUUCCAUCUACAAUGGGACUUUUAAAAAUACUCACAGUCACUAGUGCACAAGAAGAACCAUUCAAAGCCGGCAUCCAACCUCAGAUUUGCAGCAACCUAAGAUUUGUUUGCAAAGGAAUAGAACGAUAAAGCUUCAACCCACCCACGUUUAUAACUGAGAAGAAAACACACACUUCAUUUGGUAAAUACAGCAAACAACUGAAAGUAUGCUUUGACUCUGUAUUGAGGCCAGUUAGGGGAUGGAAAGGGUGAGGCUAAGCAGGUAAAGGAAAUGGAAGAGAAGGUCAGGAGAAGGAAAAUGUGAGCUAGGCAGGCGGCUCAUGCCUGUAAUCCCAACACUCUGGGAGCCCAAGGCAGGAGGAUCAUUUGAGUCCAGGAGUUUGACCCCAGCCUGGGUGAAAUAAUGAGACUUUGUCUCUACUAAAAAAAAAAAAAAAAAAAAAGUUAAAAACAGUAAUAAAAGGAAAAUGUAGAGGGGAGAAGCAACUGAGAAGAGAGGGGAGAGUGAGAAGGAAUGAGCAGGGAGGUGGAGGGCGUGGGGGUGGCUUUGUUUUGGCCUCAUCUUUCCAGGGAGACAGCCCUGUGGCGAUGGCCAGGCCACGAUGCUAGGCUGCUCUUGGUCAUUACCAGCCCCUGAAAUCAGCGUCCUCAACCCUAGCCCUGUCAUCUCUGCUGGGAGUGGGUCUCUAUUUCUUUUCUGCAAUUUACAUUUAAAGCAGAGUUUACCCUGGAAUUCUGAAGGUUUCGGUGUUGAGGUAUGGUUUGCAUUUUAGAAAUUCAUUUUGGAAAUGUGAAGAUGUCUUCUAUGCGGCUUGAAAGCCCGUCUGACGUUCACAAGCUGUAUGGCUCAGGUCUUCAGUGCCUGAAGGUUAUACAGCAAACCCACCUUGACUUUGACUUCGGAGUCUUUUCCUCCUGAAGCCAAAUCUGUUUCAGCAUUCUGGUCUCGUUAAUUCUCAUGGUGACAGUAUAUUAAUAUGAGCCAAAGAGAAAAUAAAAUUCACUGAAAGAAAAUAAGGCUGAGCCUCAUUACGCCUGUAAUCCCAGCACUUUGGGAGGCCGAGGCGGGUGGAUCAUCUGAGGUCAGGAGUUCAAGACCAGCCUGGCCAACAUGGUGAAACCCCCGUCUCUACGAAAAAUACAAAAAUUAGCCAGGAGUGGUGGCACACGCCUGUAAUCCCAGCUACUCUGGUGGCUGAGGCAGGAAAAUCUCUUGAACCUGGGAGGCUGAGGU
rnacentral:lncRNA from 10 species